UGGAUCUGCUGAGGGUAGCCCUACUUCGCCUCGAUUU
rnacentral:rRNA from 1 species